GACGAACGCUGGCGGCGUGCCUAAUACAUGCAAGUAGAACGCACAGUUUAUACCGUAGCUUGCUACACCAUAGACUGUGAGUUGCGAACGGGUGAGUAACGCGUAGGUAACCUGCCUGGUAGCGGGGGAUAACUAUUGGAAACGAUAGCUAAUACCGCAUAAUAUUGAUUAUUGCAUGAUAAUUGAUUGAAAGAUGCUAUUGCAUCACUACCAGAUGGACCUGCGUUGUAUUAGCUAGUAGGUGAGGUAACGGCUCACCUAGGCGACGAUACAUAGCCGACCUGAGAGGGUGAUCGGCCACACUGGGACUGAGACACGGCCCAGACUCCUACGGGAGGCAGCAGUAGGGAAUCUUCGGCAAUGGACGAAAGUCUGACCGAGCAACGCCGCGGGAGUGAAGAAGGUUUUCGGAUCGUAAAGCUCUGUUGUAAGAGAAGAACGGGUGUGAGAGUGGAAAGUUCACACUGUGACGGUAGCUUAACAGAAAGGGACGGCUAACUACGUG
rnacentral:rRNA from 1 species